CACCUAUCUUCGGAUAGAAGCGAGUGGCGAACGGCUGAGUAACACGUGGAGAACCUGCCCCCUCCCCCGGGAUAGCCGCCCGAAAGGACGGGUAAUACCGGAUACCCCGGGGUGCCGCAUGGCACCCCGGCUAAAGCCCCGACGGGAGGGGAUGGUUCCGCGGCCCAUCAGGUAGACGGCGGGGUGACGGCCCACCGUGCCGACAACGGGUAGCCGGGUUGAGAGACCGACCGGCCAGAUUGGGACUGAGACACGGCCCAG
rnacentral:rRNA from 1 species